UGUAUUCUGGUCGAUCCCCGUGGCUUCAAUUCAGGUGUGGGCAGGCCUUGAGUGGGUUC
rnacentral:tRNA from 11 species